rnacentral:tRNA from 2 species
AGAGGGUUGGUGUAGUGGUCAAGCAUGGUGGACUCUGAAUCCACCGACAUCGGUUCGAAUCCGAUACCCUCUACCA